rnacentral:rRNA from 1 species
GAUGAACGCUGGCGGCGUGCCUAAUACAUGCAAGUCGAGCGAACAGACGAGGAGCUUGCUCCUCUGACGUUAGCGGCGGACGGGAGAGUAACACGUGGAUAACCUACCUAUAAGACUGGGAUAACUUCGGGAAACCGGAGCUAAUACCGGAUAAUAUAUUGAACCGCAUGGGUCAAUAGUGAAAGACGGUUUUGCUGUCACUUCUCGCUGGAUCCGCGCCGCAUUGGCUAGUUGGGAGGGUAACGGCUUACCAAGGCAACGAUGCGUAGACGACGUGAGAGAGUGAUAGGCGGCCUGGGAACUGGGCCAGGGACCAUGCGCCUACGGGACGGAGCAGUCGGGAAUCUGCGGCAGUGGGCGGAAACCUUGCGGAGCAAGGCCGAGUGAGAGACGAAGGUCCUCGGAGCGGAAUACUGGGUUAUUAGGGAUGAACAAAUGUGUAAGUAACUAAGGACGGCGUGACGGUACCUAAUCAGAAAGCCACGGCUAACUACGUG